ensembl:lncRNA
ACCCGGAUGUAAAGCGUUUCUCCGGACAUUCUCCGUCAGUCUACCCGGGAAAGAGCACCGAAGCGACAGUCCACCUCUGUCGGACCUCGCGCUGUGAGGAAGUCACUAAACAAUGCUGACUCAAGCCUCUGUUGAGAAGAUUGCACUCGACAUCAUGGAAAAGCAGCAGGAACAACAACAACCACCGAGGCAAAAGAAGGGACACACGAAAAGGUGUCUUUCCUGUGGCCAGCCAAAGUCUAGAACUGGAUGCCACACAGAAAAGGGUGGCAGAGAAAGGACCGCAGAAGAGGAAAAGAACUGAUUGCCAGUCCGCAGGUCGCAAGUGUCUGUUCUGUAAGAUGGAACUGAAGCAGGGCCCAAACAGUCGUCACAUUCACACUGGGUUCCCUGGAGUAACAGGGAAGUACAUUUUCUG